GGUAAGUCGAGUCACCACACGUCACUGUAUGGCGUCACCGGCGCACGUCACUACGGAUGAGAAGGUCCUGGGCGCCUGUGGAGUGACCUCGUCCAGACCGCCGCAGACCCGAUCGGCAAGUUCUUGGAGGUGCAGGAAGGUUCUCCAAGGAGUAGGACCAGAAAGGGAUGAGAGCGCGAGCGCGGUUAAUGUCGAGGCUGCUAAGUGAUGCUCGUUAAUUUCGCAGCAGGGUGUGACUGGCCCAGCCUUGACUCUCAGUUUCCUCUCUCAGUAAAUGGGCAUAAUAAUACCGGUCCAGCCUACGCUGGAGAAUUGUGAGGUGAAAAUGAAAUAAGGUAUGCAAAGGUACUUUGUAAGUAUAAAGCCCAUUUGACUUGGUGGCUCAAGCCUGUAAUCCCAGCACUUUGGGAGGCCGAGGUGGGCGGAUCGCUUGAGCUCAGGAGUUCGACACCAGCCUGGGUAACAUAGUGAAACCCCGUCUCUACAAAAAAGACAAAAACUAAAUGGGCAUGUUGGCGCGCGCCUGUAGUCACAAAUGCUCGGGGGGCUGAGGUGGGAGGAUCGCUUGAACCUGGGGAGUUCAAGAUUGCAGUGAACCGUGAUCGCGCCGCUGCACUCCAGCCUCUGCAGUGAGAGCAAGACACUGUCUCAAAAAAAUGUAUUUAUCUAUCUACAUAGAUAAGAGUCCUAGAAAUCCGGGUGCAGGUCUGACUGUAGCUGGUGUAGGAAAGUCAGUUAUCCCCGACGCUGGAGCAAGCUAGGGGACCGCCCUUGCAGUUGUUGGAGGAGACAAAUUGGGAAGGACUUAAUUCCGGGCAAAGGAAGCUUCAUGAGUAAAAGUAGAAAGUGAAAAUGGUCAGGAAAAGCAAGGCUUGGGGCAGGGAGACCCAUUUUUAGGCCAUUGCAGUACUCCAGACAAGUGAUAAGAACAUUAAACAAGGCAUUGGCAGUGGGAAUAGAGGAGGGGAUAGAUGUUAGCGCCAUUAAGGUGGUAGAAUUCACAGCACUGAGUGCGGAUAAAUGAGUAGGCCAGGUUUCUAGCAUGAGUGCUGAGGUAGACAGUGGUAACAUUUAGCAAGAUGGCAAGCUACAUGAGUCUUGAUUAUCCACAAGUGUCUAAGUUACUAUUAUAGAUAGUGAUGGUGACAUUUCUUAGGAGGAUGACCAGAUAUGUGGAGUAUGAUGAUGAGUUCAAAUAUGGAUAUGUUUGUUAGGGAAACAUUUACUCUCCAUUCACAAUGUCUUUCUUCCAUAUGGAAUGAUAUCCAUUAGUGUAAUACUCUCCUGGUUUCUCUUAUACCUGUCUGCAACUCACUCUUGCCUAGAGGAGUGACUUCCUGAUUGGUGAACUUAAAUGGGAGAAACUGGACAUGUGGCAUCUAUCCCAUUCUUUUUCUCUUAAAAGAUAACUAUCUUCAGGGAACUGUCCUGGUGUUCUUUUCCGUUUCUUCUGGAGCAGGGCCUGUGGGUAGGGACAAGGGUGCCUAGUCCAGGGCUACAAAGAGAGUAUAUGUAUUUAAUUCCAGAGUUUGGCAUUAGGAAGCUGUCUGUCCACAGAUAAUAUUUAAUACCAGCUUUGUCAGCUGUGUUACACAGAAUAAUGAUCCCCCCCAACCAAAAAAAAAAGGAUGACCACACCCUAAUACUCAGAACCCAUGAAUAUGUUAUAUUAUGUGGCAAAAGGGACUUUGCAGAUAUGAUUAAAUGAUGUAUCUAGGGAGAUUAUCCUGGAUUGUCUGACUGGGCUGGAGGCAGGAGGGUCAGAGUCAGAGAAGGAGAUGUGAUGAUGGAAGCAGAGGUCAGACAGAGAUUUGAAGAUGCUAUACUGUUGGCUUUGAAGAUGGACCCAAGAAACGCAAGCAAAUUGUAGAUGCGGGAGAAGGCAAGGAAAUGGAUUCUUCUCUAGCACCCUAAGAACACAGCCCUGCCAACACCUUGAUUUUAGGACUUCUGACUUCUAGAACUGCGAGAUAAGAAACUUGUAUGUUUUAAGGUACCAAGUUUGUGCUAACUUGUUACAACAGCAAUAGGAAACUGAUACAGUCAGUAAUAAAGAUAAUAGUUGGUUUCCUGCAGCUUUCUCCAUUACCUGGAAAAGAAGGGUACAAUUCAGUAGGUCCCCUCAGAGACUAUAGCAAUAUGACUGUGACCUGAUGGAACCUCCACAUCUAGAGAAAAAUGUCCAAUAAACACUCAAACUGUACAGGUCUAUGAAUGAGGAAAGAGGUUGAGUUAAAAUAGAUUUGGAAGAAAUAAAUUAAUAAUUGGUAAUUUAAGCCCGAGGCAUGGAUGAGAUCAAUCAGGGAGAAAAUACAGAAGACAUAAUAAGGAGAGGCAAGGAUAGGGCCCCUGGAGAGCACUAACUUUAAAAGGAGGUGCAGAUGAUCAGAAGCCCAAAAAGAAGUCUGAGGAAGAAUGGCCAGAGAGAGAAAAGGAGAACUAGGUGAGCCUAAUGCCUCUGAAGCCAAGCAAGCAAGAUGGAGAGGGGUCAACAGAGUCAGAGACCACAAAAAGGCCAAGUAUAUCAAGAACUGGAAAGCAUUCACUGGAUUUAGCAACAGAAAAGUGAUUGGUAACCAACAAUAGCAAACUUCAGUGGGAUAGUGGAGAUAGAUACCAAAUCACUGAGAUCUGAAAGGCAGAUCAAUAUAGUGGAUUGGCCUCUAGACUAGUUUGAUGGGAGUUUUGAGAUUCUAGUCUUGAUUCUGGCCAUUAACUAGCUAGAUAACUUUGAACAAAUCCCUCAACUACUCCAGGCUUUGGUUUUCGCAUCUGGCAAAGGAUGAGAUCAAGCUGAGUCUAUGAUUUUCUCAUUAAUUCCUAGAUAAUCCCCCCAGUUUUAUUUUUUUAUUUUUUGUCAUAUCUGAUUCAAUACUUUUAUUUAUUUUUAUUUUUUAUUUUUGAGACAGCAUCUUGCUCUGUUGCCCAGUGUGGAGUGCAGUGGUACAAUCUUGGCUCACUGCAGCCUCAACCCCCGGGCUCAAUCACCCCAAUUUCAUAUCAGACUCACUUGCUUAUAACAGCACACUUCAAAUCCUUCUCAGACCAUUUUCCAACCACUAAGAAUCAGUAUAUUUCAUGCCAGCUUCUGUCCUAGAUACUAUGGCUAUAACACAGUUUUCAAGGAACUCACAAUUUGGAGAGAGAGAGAGAAAUACUAAGUAUGUAACUAGCUGUCAUAGUUCUUUAAAAAAAAAAAAAGAAAAAAAAGUAAGGCCAGGCGCGGUGGCUUAUGCCUGUAAUCCUAGCACUUUGGGAGGCCGAGGCGGGUAGAUCACCUGAGGUCAAGAGUUUGAGAUCAGCCUGACCAAUAUGAUGAAAACCCGUCUCUACUGAAAAUACAAAAAUUAGCCGGGCAUGGUGGCAUAUGCCAUCAUCCCAGCUACUCAGGAGGCUGAGACAGGAGAAUCACUUGAAUCCGGGAGGCAGAGGUUGUGUAGAGCCAAGAUCUCGCCAUUGGACUCCAGCCUGGGCAACAAGAGCAAAACUCUGUCUCAAAAAAAAAAUUAAAAUAAGUAAAUAAAUAAAAAUAAAAAAUAAUAAGAUAGACCUGAUUGUGGUGGCUCAUGCCCCGUAAUCCCAGUGCUUUGGAAGGCCAAAAUGGGAAGAUCACCUGAGGCCAGGAGUUUGAGACCAGCCUGGGCAAUAUAGCCAGACACCCAUCUCUACAAAAAUUUUCUAAAAAUUAGCCAGGUGUGGUGGUGCGCACCUGCAGUUCUAACUACUUGGGAGGCUGAGGCAAGAGGAUUGGGUGAGCCCAGGAGUUUGAGGUUACAGUGAGCUAUUACCAGAUUACAGUGAGCUAUGACUGUGCCAGUGCACUUCAGCCUGGGCAACAGAGCAAGACCCUAAAAGCUAGAUAUAAAUAUAUUGUAAGUAUAAUACAAUAUACUAUAACAGAAUCUGUAUGAAGUGAAAUGAGGGAUAUAUAAAGUGAUACAGAUAAGGGCGCAGUUAGCUCUAUCUAAUGGAAGUCAAGAGUGUUGUACUUACCUACACUGUUAAGUAAACACAGUAUGCCUCAAAAAUGGACACAAAUAUAUUAAGGCAUUUCCAUGGAGGUAAAAAAAGAACAGGAGAAUUGUGCUAAACCAGCGUUGUCACCUAACAUUCCUUCUAGGUAGUUUUGUUGUGAUCUAAAUGAAUAUUUAUAUAUAACUGUUUCUAAACUAAAAUUGGUUAGUUGUUAAAAUGGACACAAAUAAAAGUUAAAUGCAAGAAUAAUUUAUAUUUUUCCAGUAGAUUCAAGAGGAAAUAUUUUUUGUCACUAAUGCCAUGCUUUAAUACAUUUGCUUGUCUAAUCCUCAUGUAUUAUCUUACUUAAUUUUGUAAACAUUAGCUUAUUGUAUAGAUCACUGACAAAGUAUCUGUUUUAGCAGAUAGGGACAAAGUUUAAAUAAUUUGGCCAAGGUCAUAGUAGACCAAGAUUUGGACCCAGCACAAGCAUCCUCUUUCCAGGAAACCUUCCCUCAGGCCCUUAGUUGGUUUAAGUGCCCUCUCUCUGUACUAUUAGCAUAUGCACACACAUUCAUUUUAGCGUUGACUUUAAUAAUAAGGAUGUUUACCAUGUACCAGAUACAUAGUACUUGCACCUAUGUUAUCUAUGUUUAAGUGUUUUGUAGGCAUUAGUUCAUUUAAGCCUCAUAACUGCCCUUUGAAGUAGGUGAUAUUAUUCACAAUAUUUUAUAAAACAGGAAGCCAAGGCAUAGAAAGUUAAGUAAUUACUCAAGGUACAAUUAAUAAGUGAUAAAGCUAGGAUUCGAAUCCAUGCUUUUAACCCCCCAGGCUUCAUACUAUGUACCCUUUCCCUUAUACUGAGGAAUUCUAGAAGGCAUAGUUGACAGGUUGUUGUGUGUGAUAUCACUCUGUGUUCCUCAUAUGAACACAAGAGAAUUUUCUCUCUGAGCCACAAGUCAUGAAAUAUUUGGCUACCCUUGAGUAACUGAUGUGUUUUCUCUUUAUAGGCAAUGUGAAUUAUAUAACUGCCUGUUUUUCACUUUUCACUUUGCCAAGAAGCUCUGAGUAAAUUUGUUGGCUCAGCGUUUGUAAGUGGGUGAAUUGGCCUGCAUAUCUGUAUUCUGUUGCUUUGAAAUUUUUAAAAAUAAAUAGUUGAGAGAAAAAUAAUGUAAAUUUUCUUUAUUUUCCAAAUUGUUGACAAUGUACAAUGAUAAUUUUUAUAAUUAGAAAAAUAAACUUUGUUCUUAAAAGAACGUUUGAAGCUUCAAAUGAUUUCUCAUGCUUUGACUCUGUGAAUAAGAGCUGGUUUCAGGUUAAGUUGCAUGAGUUAAAUAUAGAAUCCAGGUUCAUAUAAAACCAAGACUUCUGUAUGACCUGGAAAGUCCAGAUCAAUAGAAUUGUUCAGACGGAUCAAAAAGUAUUUUAGGUAGCAUAAAAUAGUUGUAGCCCUUCUUGUUUUUAACUUAUGUUUAAGUAAUUUGAAACCACUUUUAGGUUAUUUGGACACAUGCUCCCUCGCUUUAGAAAUCAAAAAACCCAUUAUCUUCCUAUAUGCUGAUGAUAUUUUAUUAUAAUAAACUUUAUGGCUGAUUUUGUUGCUCACCGUUUAUCAGAAGGAAUGGAUCAAGAUCACCUGUUCCAAAACUAAAAUAAUUUUUUAGGGCACAUGUCCUCAAAUUUAAUUGGCUUAGAUCCAGUAACUAAAUACCACGUUAAUUUAUUUACUUAAGGGUAUGUUUUGCAAGUAAUUCUUCCAGGUAGAUUUACUGGCCAGCCACUUUGCUAAAAGCCAUACAUUUCAUGGGAGCAUUAAUUAGAUUUUCCUACCGUCAGAGUGAGCAACUGAUCAUUUCUUCUUUGAAAAAUUUCAAUCCAAAUUUUGAUCAUUCUCCAACAGAGCAUUCUAAUGCCUAAAUGGCCUAGGCAGGUGGGUAAGUACUCUAUACUCAGCCCAGCAGAUUGUUGCUAUGUGGUAUAAGCAUCCAAAGUUGCCAGAUUUGAAAUCUGUUGACCUCUAAAUAUUGGUAACUAAUGGGAAUUUUUUUUAAAGAAAAGAAAAACAUGACUUGUCUGUGAGUUCGCAGACCUCUUGCUCUAUUGGAUGGAACUUGAUGGUCUUGAACACUUAUUUUUUUUAUUUUUGAAGUGUUGUUUUUUUAAGGAAAAUCCUAGAUUGCCUGCAGGGGCUCUCUCUAUUCACUACCAUAUGGAGAGGAAUGUUCCUAUUUAGGUGAGAAUCUUAAUAGGGUGACUCACUCUUCACAAAAGGCUGUCAGCCCUCUACCAUCUGCUUUUUAGAUUACUGAAUUCUAAACAGUAUGUAUCUGCCUUUAGUCAGCCACACAAUAUUAGCUGGUCCAUCAGGACACUGCAUACCUGACCAUAUUGUCCUGAGCACACACACAGAAACUUUCCUCAUCCACCACCAAGAGUGUUUUCAUGGCUUGUAUUUUGAGUAUUGUGUCUUCUGCAUAUGUUAAGCAAUUCUGGAAGAGACAACUCCACAGAGCCCACCAGUGCAUUGUGUGGGCAAAUAGGCAAAGCUUCCCCUCUGCCCUCUGAAGCUGUGCUGAAAAUGAACUGACAAUAUGCAGAUUAGGAGAAAAGGGUAUGCAAAUUUAUUAACGUGCAUAAGCACAGGGGAAUCACAGGAGAAUGAUUAUCCAGUAACACAACGAGGUCCAGAUGCUUAUAUACCCUUAAUAAGAGAAGGAGAGAUGGGGGAGAUGUGGUAAUUUUAAGGGACAGUAAGUUAUUUUUAGGAGGAAUAAAUGGCUCCAAUGCUCAGGCAAUGGUUAGUAAAUGAUUCUCUUUGGGAAUUGAGUGGGAAGGGAAAGUGGAUGAUAGUUUGGGACAAAGUUUGGGCUCUACAUGUGGUGUUUAAUUUUCAGUCUCUUCCUCUGAUGUGAGGUUUAAUCUCUAGUUAAUUUCAGGGAGGGAAUCAAAGGCAAUUGUGUUCCUCUUUGAUGGGUCCAAUUUAUAGGUAUAUAAGGGAACUAAAGAGAAGAGCCUCAUCCUGAGCUUUAGGAGAGAUAAGAUUGGAGAUGGGAUGUGGGUGAAGAGGUGUCAGAUUUUGAAGCUGCUUCUUUAGUACUUCAAAGUGCCAUAUAUUGGGGUAUCAUCUUCUAAGCUCCAAUAGCUUUUACUAUAGGAUUGUUACUGUGCACUUGAUCACAUGAGAAUUUUCUUUCAGAGCCAGGUAUCAUGAAGAGCUUGGCUACUCUUGAAUAACUGAUGUGUCUUGCUUACAGCAAGUGAAUUGCAUAGCUGGAUAUGUGUUCCUUUUCACCUUAGCUGCCAUGAAGCUCUGAGUCAAAGUGUGGCUCCAUUUUAGUGCCUGAGUAGAAACCUGUGGUCUGUAUAUCUGCAUUCUAAUUUGUUUUCUACUGGUACUGAACCUUGUACUUAAGUUUGGGUUUUCUCCUUCUCUGGUUUAUCUAUAAUUUCCUUUUGCGACGGAAUCUCACUCUAUUGCCUGGGCUGGCUGGAGUGCAAUGGCGAAUCUCAGCUCACUGCAACCUCCGCCUGCCGGGUUCACGCAGUUCUCCUGCCUCAGCCUCCCAAGUAGCUGGGAUUACAGGUGCAUACCACCACGCCUGGCUAAUUUUUUGUAUUUUUAGUAGAGAUGGGGUUUCACUAUGUUGGCCAGACUGGUCUUGAACUCCUGACCUCAUGAUCCACCCACCUCGGCAUCCCAAAGUGCUGGGAUUAUAAGGGUGAGCCACUGCACCCAGCCGGCUUACCUAUAAUUUUCUACAUUCUGUUUGUAAUUUCACUAGCCACUUCAAGUUGUUUGUGAAAAAACUAGGAAAAUGAAUGGUAAAUACACUUAUGAUGACUAUCUUAUUCCUAGUCCCUUUCCCUCACUUCAGGUAAAAGUUAAAACUUAUACACCUGGCCAGGCACAGUGACUCAUACCUGUAAUCCCAGGACUUUGGGAGGCCAAGGCAGGCAGAUCAACUUGAGGCCAGGAGUUUGAGACCAGCCUGGCCAACAUGGUGAAACCCCGUCUCUACUAAAAAUACAAAAAUGAGACAGGCAUGGUGGUGUGUACCUGUAAUCCCAGCUACUUGGGAGGCUGAGGCACGAGAAUUGCUUGAGCCUGGGAAGCAGAGGAUGCAGUGAGCUGAGAUUGUGCCACUGCAUUCCAGCCUGGGUGACACAGCGAGACUCUUCUCAAAAAAAAAAAAAAAAAAAAAAAAAAAACGUAUACACCCUUCUCUGCUAAGAGUAUAUCUUGUUUAUGAGUUCUCUAGCAUUUUACAUAAGAUAAAUAGAGCUAAAACGAUGAAUUGUCUUUUAAUGUUAUUGCAGCUCUGCAGCAUGUCAUUCUCUUAACUUUGCUUUUUUUUUUUUUUUCCUGAGGGAGAUGGAUAGGUGAAGUAAUGGUUGACAAGCAUAAGUGGGAAGCUUCAAGUCCCAGGUUCUCCCAUCAAAUCAUUUUCUCACAAUCUUGCUCAGUAUUCUCUUCUAGUAGGCCAGAAUUUGAAGGAUUAGCUCUCUGUAUAUCUAAUCUAAAUCCUACUCCUUGUUUUAAACUCUUUGAUUUCAAAUAUUAAUGAUCUGGUACUAUUCACUAGUGUAUCUAUUUCCACAUACUUUCUUUAACUGAAGGUACAUGGAAGAUUCUAAGCAGGAUUCAUUGUUGUCUUAAUACAUCUUUUAUAUUUGCUAAGUUGAAGGCAGAAAGGUAACUGAGUGCUAUGACUAUUCUUAGGCAUUGUCAUCAACACCAAUGUGUCUAUGAUUUAAUAUUUUAAUACUGUACUUACCUUGAGAACUGGACAGUAAAGUUGCUUUGUAAAUGUAAGGUAAACAUUUCAAAUAUACUAUAAUCUUUGUAGUCAUAUUUUGUAUUUUUUCAUUGCUUAAUAUACCCUGAGCCAAAAACAAAAAAAAUAGCCUAGGCUAUUUUCUACUUCAAUUUUCAUUUACUUGGCUACUUUGUGCCAGGCACAGAGGGGAUACAGAGAUGGAGGAUAUCGUUUCUGAUCUAAAGGAGCUAACAGUCUAGAACUGCACUGUCCAGUAUGGUAGCCUCUAAUCACAUGUGGCCAUUUUAAUUUAAAUUAAAAAUCCAGUUUCUCGGUCAUACUAGCCAUAUUUCAAGAAGCCAAUAGUGGGCGGGCACUGUGGCUCACACCUGUAAUCCCAGCACUUUGAGAAGCCGAGGCCGUAGAAUUGCUUGAGCCCAGGAGUUCGAGAUAAGCCUGGCAAAAUAGUGAAACCCCAUGUCUGCAAACAUAAAUAAAUAAAUAAAUAAA
rnacentral:lncRNA from 10 species